rnacentral:rRNA from 1 species
UGCAAGUCGAACGGCAGCGCGGGCUUCGGCCUGGCGGCGAGUGGCGGACGGGUGAGUAAUGCAUCGGAACGUGCCCAGGAGUGGGGGAUAACGUAGCGAAAGUUACGCUAAUACCGCAUACGUACUGAGGUAGAAAGCGGGGGAUCGAAAGACCUCGCGCUCAUGGAGCGGCCGAUGUCGGAUUAGCUAGUUGGUGAGGUAAAAGCUCACCAAGGCGACGAUCCGUAGCUGGUCUGAGAGGACGACCAGCCACACUGGGACUGAGACACGGCCCAGACUCCUACGGGAGGCAGCAGUGGGGAAUCUUGGACAAUGGGGGAAACCCUGAUCCAGCAAUGCCGCGUGUGGGAUGAAGGCCCUCGGGUUGUAAACCACUUUUGGCAGGAAAGAAAUCGCCUGUGCUAAUACCAUGGGCGGAUGACGGUACCUGCAGAAUAAGCACCGGCUAACUACGUGCCAGCAGCCGCGGUAAUACGUAGGGUGCGAGCGUUAAUCGGAAUUACUGGGCGUAAAGCGUGCGCAGGCGGUUUUGUAAGACAGAUGUGAAAUCCCCGGGCUUAACCUGGGAACUGCAUUUGUGACUGCAAGACUAGAGUGUGUCAGAGGGAGGUGGAAUUCCGCGUGUAGCAGU